rnacentral:lncRNA from 1 species
CUUUUUCUUCGUAACUUCAUGGCAACAUGACCUACAGUUACUCAUUUUUCAGGCCUGAGUUGAUCGUUAAUCAUCUUAAUUAUGUUCAUUCUGAAGCCAACAGGAGAACCAAGACCAAAACUUUAUUGUCUCUGCUUUCAUUUCUUGAUGAAACCUCUGGACUAAGCACACAUCUUCCUUGUUUAUCUCUCUCAAAGGAGUGUGGAGUGCUUCAUCUGGACAUCCACGGGAAGAAGGAAGACAUGAGGAAUUUCAACAUAUCUUGGAAAAUGACAUUCACCAAUCAAACAAAUCAGAACUAUCAA